rnacentral:lncRNA from 1 species
AGAGAGUUAGCCGAGUUAGGGGCAGCUACUAGGAUGGGGGCAGGAGGAGAAGCGGGGCUAACUAUAAAGAAGACUAGAUUUCGGGACAGUGGGUAUGUGGAAGGCAGCUUUCAAACCGCCCUUGUCAAACAACACAGGGCCAGCAGCCUUCAAGACCAGGCUAUCCCUGCCGUCUGCUGGCAUGGGGGCACUUGUACCGUCCAGGAGGGUACAAGUUUCACAGGCCUACAUGGGGCCAAUGUCCUAGCGUGAGUGGCAGAGCAGCAGUAGACUCUUGGGCCCUCGAGGCACUGAAAAUGAAAGAAGACAGACAGGGAGGGCAGGGACUAGGUGGCAGUGGAGGUCGACUUUGAACUUGACAAUACCAGCAAAUCGCUUUUUUUCCAGAUAAGGGGUUGUGAACCCACCUGGGGAUGAGGCCUGGUCUUAUGGAAAGUGGACUUAGCUUCGCUGGGCUAGGCCGACAGCUGUGGCCCAGGGUGGUAUGUAAUUUGGGUGUGGCCUGUCUGUACCCACUCCUGAGUGCCAGGGGUAGCUGAGAGACGGACAGUUUUGGCUGCCAGGCGGGGACCAAGGAGAUCGAAGGCGCGCGUCUUGGGGCCGCAUUGAUCACGACUUUAUUUUUCAGAUGUCAGUGCCCUCUCUGGACUUUGCCUAGGUUCCGUGCUUCCUCUUCUGUGGUCUCACUCUUCCCUACUCUUCCCCCUCACUCUGAGGUUAAGGGUUCACUUAAAACCUUGCCUCUGGGUCAUCUGGUAAGCCUGGGGAAGAUGUAGAGCCCGUGUGGGAGUCUUGGGCUCCGCAUUUUGGUAUUACUGGUAAAGUCGG